UGGGGAAUUUUGGACAAUGGGGGAAACCCUGAUCCAGCCAUCCCGCGUGUGCGAUGAAGGCCUUCGGGUUGUAAAGUACUUUUGGCAGGAAAGAAACGUCAUGGGUUAAUACCCCGUGAAACUGACGGUACCUGCAGAAUAAGCACCGGCUAACUACGUGCCAGCAGCCGCGGUAAUACGUAGGGUGCAAGCGUUAAUCGGAAUUACUGGGCGUAAAGCGUGCGCAGGCGGUUCGGAAAGAAAGAUGUGAAAUCCCAGAGCUCAACUUUGGAACUGCAUUUUUAACUACCGGGCUAGAGUGUGUCAGAAGGAGGUGGAAUUCCGCGUGUAGCAGUGAAAUGCGUAGAUAUGCGGAGGAACACCGAUGGCGAAGGCAGCCUCCUGGGAUAACACUGACGCUCAUGCACGAAGGCGUGGGGAGCAAACAGG
rnacentral:rRNA from 1 species